rnacentral:rRNA from 1 species
UACGGGGGGGGCAAGCGUUGUUCGGAAUUACUGGGCGUAAAGGGCUCGUAGGCGGCCAACUAAGUCAGACGUGAAAUCCCUCGGCUUAACCGGGGAACUGCAUCUGAUACUGGAUGGCUUGAGUUCGGGAGAGGGAUGCGGAAUUCCAGGUGUAGCGGUGAAAUGCGUAGAUAUCAGGAGGAACACCGAUGGCGAAGGCAGGUCUCUGGGCCAUAACUGCGCUGAGAAGCGAAAGCAUGGGGAGCGAACAGG